rnacentral:lncRNA from 1 species
CUUUGAUUUCCGCAAAGUAAAGUAAAUAUAGAGCCAAGAACAUCCGAAUGAAAGAUCUGUUUGAUAUAAGUGCAUGGAAAGAAACAAUAAUAAGAUUGUAUCUUAUUAUCUUGAUCACAUAUAUUUAAUAUAUCACCACAGUUAUUCGUUGGAAUAGGAAUGGAAGAUGAAGACAAUUGGGUGUUACAAAGCUAUGGAAGCCAGUAAGGCCA